AGUGAACGCUGGCGGUAGGCCUAACACAUGCAAGUCGAACGGCAGCACAGUAAGAGCUUGCUCUUACGGGUGGCGAGUGGCGGACGGGUGAGGAAUACAUCGGAAUCUACUUUUUCGUGGGGGAUAACGUAGGGAAACUUACGCUAAUACCGCAUACGACCUACGGGUGAAAGCAGGGGAUCUUCGGACCUUGCGCGAUUGAAUGAGCCGAUGUCGGAUUAGCUAGUUGGCGGGGUAAAGGCCCACCAAGGCGACGAUCCGUAGCUGGUCUGAGAGGAUGAUCAGCCACACUGGAACUGAGACACGGUCCAGACUCCUACGGGAGGCAGCAGUGGGGAAUAUUGGACAAUGGGCGCAAGCCUGAUCCAGCCAUACCGCGUGGGUGAAGAAGGCCUUCGGGUUGUAAAGCCCUUUUGUUGGGGAAGAAAAGCAGCAGGUUAAUACCCCGCUAUUCUGACGGUACCCAAAGAAUAAGCACCGGCUAACUUCGUG
rnacentral:rRNA from 1 species